AGCUUUGCGCAGUGGCAGUAUCGUAGCCAAUGAGGUUUAUCCGAGGCGCAAUUAUUGCUAAUUGUACACCUGAAACUAACGUAACAUUGUAUGUCAACUCCACUUAAAUAAUAAAUAACAAAAAAAGAA
rnacentral:snRNA from 1 species